ensembl:lncRNA
GGCUUUGGUCCCUCUCACAGUGGGAGUCAGGUUAUUUGACCUGGUAAUUAGUGGGAAUGCGAGAUGAAAGGAUGUCUGGCUCAGGAGCCGUGGCUGCGCGGGCGCAGGAGGGCCUAGAGGAGCUAUCCCACGUUGAAGAUCAGGAAGCGUGGCCGUGAAGAGAUACCCCUCGUCCAAGAAUUGAAGAGGACUCUUCCUCAUGGGCCUCGGUUCCUGGUGAGGACACAGAGAAGAAUCUGAGGUCUUACCCACAGCAAAAACAAGUUUAUUGAAGAAAGAACAGAAAGAACAGCCCCAGGGAGAGGUGGCUUCUCUCCAGCAAGAGAAGCACUGGAAUGAUGAGUGCUUUUCAGGUCUACUAGAUCCUUCUACUUCUCUGCUGAUGCUGCUACUAAGUCACUUCAGUCAUGUCCGACUCUGUGGGACCCCGUAGACGACAGCCCACCAAGCUUCCCCAUCCCUGGGAUUCUCCAGAAUUUCUUGGAUACCAGUGAUGGAAACUCAUCUCAAACUAACUGAAACCCAAACGGCUCCUCUGUCCAGGGGAUUUCCCAGGCAAGAAUACUGGAGUGUGUUGCCAUUUCCGCCUCCAGGGGAUCUUCUUGACCCAAGAAUCAAACCUGAGUCUCCUGCAGGAAGAUUCUUUACUGCUGAGCCACCAAGGAAGCCGUAUGUGUAUGCAGAGCAUCAUGCCUUCACACUGGAUGGAAGAGAAGAAGCCGUGGCAGGAACAGGGCUCCCAAGAGAGGUCUGUCCAGGUGAAACCAUGGAUGCCAUGAAGUCAGUCUGCCCAGAGUCCUUGUGGCUCCACGGAGAGCUUUAGUUGCUCAUAUCCAUGAGUCACAAUAAUCCACGGAGCCAUCACAAUCUGCUCUAAACUGCCUCUCUUGAUGGGAUCGAGGAUAAGAAAUUUCUCUAGCAGAUUUUCACGUUCCUUUGUCAAGAAUGGAAUAUGAUGUGUUCUGCUCAGAACCUGCAUCUACAGCUGCUUGAGUUUCCAUCCCUGGAAAGGCCAGAAUCCAUCGCACUGAGGACAGGAUGACUUCCUGUGGUUCUUCCCUGGAAGAGUUCUGGGGCAGCAUGAGGGAGACCACCCCAGAAGAUGUCCAGCUCGUUGUAAAAAAAGUGAAUUUGUUGCUGAAGCCAAAGUCUGAUGUUCGUGUUCGCAUCCAAGAGCAGGUUUUCUGCUUGUAAGUCUCUGUGAACAGCACCCUUCUGGUGACCAGUCACACAGAGCUCACUGCUGGUGGACUCUGCCUUCAGCCUCUCUGCUUUCCUACUGCCCUGAGCCAUGGGUGCUCACCCACCUCUCCUCCACUAGCGUCCUCCGAACAUGAGUCAGAGUUUCAGCAUCUUUAAAUGUAGAAGUUGCAGCUGUGAGUUGAGAAAACAUGCCAUCUACUCUUUUUUAAGUUAACAAUCCACUGCGCUCUGUGUGCCUCUUAUUUGGCUUGGGAUGAGGGAGUAAGGGCAUCUGGGCGUUGUCACCAGUAGCUCAGAGGAGGAAACCAAGACACCUGUGCAUGAUUUUUUAAAAGAACGUUCUAUUGACGGUAUAGAUACAGAAAAGUGCACAAAUCAUGUGUGCUGCUUGGUGACUGCUUACAGAUUAAAUUCACUUAAUCAACAUUCAGAUCAAGAAACAGGAUGUCAUCAGCUCCCCUCCCCUCACCCCCACAAGCCCCUUUCCAGUCACUUUCUCCACAGUGAUAGUCACUACCGUGUCUUCUAACCGCGCAGAUUAGGUUUGCUUGUUUUUGAACUUUCCAUAACUGGAAUCACACAGCGUUAGACCCAUUGUGUCUGCUUCCUUUGUUCGCUGUUUUUAUGAGAUUCAUGUCGUUCGUUUGCUAUUUUAAAUGCUGUAGAGUAACCCAUUGUUUGCCCAUUUUGCUGUCACUGGGCAUUGGAUCGUUCUCGGCUCAGUUUAGGCUGUUAGGAAGAGUGAGUGCUGCCCUGAACGUUCCUCUCCAGUGUUCGGUGAACAUUUAUGGCUUUCUGUUGGAUAUACACCUGGAAAUGGAAUGGAUUGCUUAAGAGGGCUACAGUACAGUUUUUGGUUUUAGCAGACACUGCAAUUUAUACCAAUUUACACACCCACCAAUACUAGCCCUUUAAUUUUAAUCUUUCUGUGGGUGUGGGGGUGUCACACUGUGAUUUUAAUUUGCAUUUCCCUGAUGCCUAAUCAAGUAGAACACUUUUUCAUAUGCUUACUGGCCCUUUUCUUUUCUGUGAAAUGCCCAAUCAAGUCUUUUGCCUAUUUUUCUUUUGGGUUGCCUGCAUUUUUCUUAUUGGUUUGUAGGUAUUCUUUUUUUUUUUUUUUUUAAUAUUUAUUUGGCUGCACCAGGUCUUAUUUGCAUCACUUGGGACCUUUGAUCUUCCUUGCAUCAUGCAGGAUCUUCAGUUGCAGCAUGUGGGAUCUAGUUUCUUGACCAGAGAUUGAACCCAGGCCCCCUACAUUGGGAGUGCGGAGUCUUAGGCAUUGGACCACUAGGGAAGUCCUGGUUUGUAGGUAUCCUUUGGUUUGGUGUGAAUUGUUUGUUGCAUUUGGCCCUGGAUAUACAUUUCCUCUCCUCCCCACCCAUCCCUGUUUAACUUUCUGAUGCCACCUCCCAUUACUUUAUCAAUUGCUCAUUCCUUCCCCAAAGCUGGACUUCCUUCUUCCUUGAAUAUGCCCUGCCAGGCACAUUCCCACCUCAUGCUCUGCUCUAGUUCCUGCUUAUGCCUGGGACCUUCUUUCCCUGGAUCCACAGAACCCUCUCCCUUACCUCCUUCAAGCAUUUGCUCCAGUGUCAACUUCUUAGUGAGGUCUUCCCUGAUUUACAUCUUUGGUCUUAUAAGGUGUGUUACAAGAGCUAUCUGCCACCCUCAAUCCAUUGUUUUCUUUCUUUUUUAAAACUUUGCAUUAUGUAAAAAUUUAAACAUCAGUGCAGUUCAGUUGCUCAGUCGUGUCCGACUCUGCGACCCCAUGAACUGCAGCACGCCAGGCCUCUCUGUUCAUCACCAACUCCCGGAG